GACGAACGCUGGCGGCGUGCUUAACACAUGCAAGUCGAACGAUGAUGCUGGAGCUUGCUCCAGUUUAUUAGUGGCGAACGGGUGAGUAAAACGUGAGCAAUCUGCCCUUGACUCUGGGAUAACUGCGGGAAACUGUAGCUAAUACCGGAUACUUUCACCGGAAGGCAUCCUCUGGGGAUGAACGACUUUCGGUCUGGGAGGAGCUCGCGGCCUAUCAGCGUGUUGGUGAGGUAACAGCUAGCCAAGGCGACGACGGGUAGCCGGCCUGAGAGGGUGACCGGCCACACUGGGACUGAGACACGGCCCAGACUCCUACGGGAGGCAGCAGUGGGGAGUAUUGCACAAUGGGCGCAAGCCUGAUGCAGCAACGCCGCGUGAGGGAUGAAGGCCUUGGGGUUGUAAACCUCUUUCAGCAUCGACGAAGCGCUACUGACGGUAGGUGCAGAAGAAGGACCGGCCAACUACGUGCCAGCCGCCGCCGUAA
rnacentral:rRNA from 1 species